UCACCCUUCACCUCUCACCUCAGCAUGGCGGCCUGCUUCUCUUCCUGUCCGCGGUGUCACGCUGCUGCUGCUGAAACUCUUCCGUCUGACCCGAGGCUUCGUCGCACAUUUGGAAACUUAAAGUUCUGGAAACAAGUCGCAGAAAGAGAAAGUGAAUCCUCAGUUUCAAAAAAACCUCCAGAAGAGCUGAGCGGAACCACCUGAGUGUAAAGGAGACUCACCUGCAGCAGCUGAGGACCAAACUCAGUCCACCUGUCCACAUGGUGCAGAUCCGCUGCUUCUCUCCAAAGGAAUCGACCCGGCAACCUGCAGGCCUGAAGUGAAAGCUCAGCCCGAGGUUGGGGCCCCGGCCUCUUAUCAUCUGGUUUCUAUUCUCUUUGCCCUGUCCAAUGAAAUCUGACCUGCUGUAGAGGAGAACUGAAUUAUGGGCCCAUCAACAAAAACCAUAUUCCCCCUUUGAAGUUGCGUACGUGAUGGAAAGUGAACUAUUUUCAAUCUCCCCGUGACUUUAUGUGACCCCCGCUGAGGUAUUCCAGCCGAGCGAGAGGAGGGGGAGGUGGCUGCGUUACAGGAGAAAAGAUUGACUCUGAACAUUCGUGACAAAGGUGGAUAAUUUUACCAGCUGCUGGAUAGUCUGCUCUUGAGUCAUGUGGAGGUGCCUGUAAAGCCUGUGUGUAAUCUUCCUUCCUCCCACUCUUUAAUUGUGCCUCAUGGAACAAGUUGCUUUUGUUAAAGAAAGAAAAAAAGAGAGAGAGAUAGCCUCAGGUUCUUUUGAUCUAACCAGGACAUGAGGGUGAGGUCUGCAUUCAGAGCUUUACUGUCCUGCUGCAUUUUUGUAUAUUUUUUUGCUUUAUCUGAUAUUUUUAACUUUGGAUUGAGACGAGGAAAGACAUUUUCAACAUGUAACAAACAACAGCACACAUAUCAUCUGGAUAGUUUUUCAAAAAAUCUACUGUACAUUUUCUCAGCAUUACAAAGGCAAAGCGUCCUGGCUGAUACCUGCACGUGGACCGUGUCAAUGAAGAUCUCAAGUUUAAGACGCGGCCCUCCGACAGUUCAGAGGGAUCAGAGGUUAUCCCUGCAGCAACAGCUGCCUGUGAUAAUGAGGAACAACACCGCUGCCAUCCUGACUGCACGAGUGAAAAAUACCUCGGCCAUUAAGGAGCCUCACGUGAGGCGAGGAGGGAGGAUGAUCAUCACAGAACGUGGUGAACUGAACCCAACAUCUGCAGUUAUAACGUUAAAGAGGAGCUGGUAGUAAAGGCACUAAGUACAAGUAGGUCCGGACACUUUCCUGAAUUUUUCUAGAGGGGUACAAAGAACAUUUGCCACAAUUAAAUGUCUUAGUGAUCCCAAUACAGCAGGAAAAGAUGAAAGAUUCACUGGGAACAUGCGGUGGACAUGAGACCGGAGGGACACACAGGUAGAAGACGCAGACGACUUGGAAAGACAACAAGACAUUAUAGAUUUUAAACAUCAUGUCCUGCCUCCUGCUCUCCUCAGAUUCCAACUCGUGCCUGAAUGUUUUGGGAGUAACCCUGUUGUCCUGAACGUGUCCGACUCAGACCAGAAUUUAUUUGAAAGACUAACAAAAUGUUUGUCCCCCUAUUUUUCAGACAUUGUCCAGCGUUCAGGUCUGAAAACCGCUGCAUAGAAAUUAAAAGCUCCUGUCGGAUAUAUAUGUGGUUUUUUUUUUGCCUUAUUUUCUUUAAAUCUAUUUAUAUCCAUCGAGCUCGUGUACAUAUGAGCGAAGACACACUUCUCUCAGAACUGCCUUUAUACUGCAGAGUAUCUGUUGACAGAACAAUUGUGUUGUUUCAUUGAUGCAUAGGAGGAGGUGUGAAGAUGUCGUCGGUGAUAUUCAUUACAAGCCGGUGCAUCAGCCCGUCAAAGCUCUCCUUUGUGGAGGGGAUCAAGCCAGAGGCAGGUUAAGUCUUUCCACAGAGACGCCUGUGGUUCGCUCUUCCUCUUCGCUUCCUCCUUUCUUCUUCUUCUGCGUUCUUGAGCAUCUCAUCAGCAGCUCUGCACGAUCUGAGCUGUUGAACUUCACGAGCCCUGGUACUUUCAGCCGAGUCGGAUUCGGCAAUCAUAGAGUAAUCUUUCCAAACAGGAAUUUGUUGAAAGAAAUUUUACCCUGAUACUUUAAUGGGAUUAUUUUCACAUUUAGUUUAAAUAUACGGAUUUCUUUAAACAAAACUUGAUUUAGACUAACACGACUACCAAAGACUCAAGAAUAACUGUGCUAGACAUUUCUAAUUAUUUCCUGAUAUCUCCAUUUAUAUACAAAACAAUGAAUCAGUCAAUUGUUAGUUUAGAUUCAUUAAGAUAAUAGUUUCAGCUGAAUACAUGAUUAUAUCUGCACUGACAGCUGCACAGUUGUAGGUAGAAUUACAGUAACAAGGGGUUUAAUUCAUAGCUGUUAAAAAGUCACCAGGUGUCUCACGACCAUUUAAACCCACAUGAAUGAAAUGAAGGGGAAGUGGUGAGAGAGAUUCCGACAGAGAUAACAUUCAAUCAGAUGCAGAAAGUCUUCAAGUGAGUGACUGAGAGCCGGCAGGGUGUUUCCUGUCCAGCGCAGGUUGUGACCCUGCAGAGCGGAGCAGCUCCUGCAGAAUGAUCCGUCUGUUCAGAGAAACUGCUGAGCCAUCAGAGCCGCCGCCGACCAUCAGACGAAGCUGCCCCGGGACCUUUGACAGGCUCAGAUCAAUCAGCCGACACCGCGGCCGCCUCGAGGGCCGUCUCCCCCGAGAUCGUCCCACCUUGACCAGCAAAGUUCACAGUUUUAAAUUAGACUGUUCCUCCCUAAACUCAAUCAUUUGUCUGUCAUACUGAAAAAAAAAGAAAUGGUUGGAAAAGUUAA